rnacentral:rRNA from 1 species
GAAUAUUGGACAAUGGGCGCAAGCCUGAUCCCGCCAUGCCGCGUGAGUGAUGAAGGCCUUAGGGUUGUAAAGCUCUUUCAGUGGGGAAGAUAAUGACGGUACCCACACAAGAAGCCCCGGCUAACUUCGUGCCAGCAGCCGCGGUAAUACGAAGGGGGCUAGCGUUGUUCGGAUUUACUGGGCGUAAAGCGCACGUAGGCGGAUUGGUCAGUUAGGGGUGAAAUCCCGGAGCUCAACUCCGGAACUGCCUUUAAUACUGCCAGUCUAGAGUCCGAGAGAGGUGAGUGGAACUCCUAGUGUAGAGGUGGAAUUCGUAGAUAUUAGGAAGAACACCAGUGGCGAAGGCGGCUCACUGGCUCGGUACUAACGCUGAGGUGCGAAAGCGUGGGGAGCAAACAG